rnacentral:other from 1 species
CGCCGCCUGCGGUGUUCGAUGUGGGCCUGGGUACCUCUCGACCCUAAUGUGAAAAACCCAGGGGCUCGGCUCAGCGGUAACAUUGUGCAUGUCCGCCCUCGAGCGGGAAGCCUUAAGUGCCGCGGCUUGCCCCACCUGUUGCUCCGGUUCGAGAGCAGCGGUCUGCAACGGCACAGGCGGGUGGCGC